rnacentral:rRNA from 1 species
AUUGAACGCUGGCGGCAGGCUUAACACAUGCAAGUCGAACGAGUGGCGGACGGGUGAGUAAUGCUUGGGCAUCUAGCUUAUGGAGGGGGUUAACUACGGGAAACUGUAGCUAAUACCGCAUACUAUCGGAUGAACCAAUAUGGGAUUAGCUUGUAGGUGGGGUAACGGCUCACCUCGGCGACGAUCCCUAGCUGGUCUGAGAGGAUGACCAGCCACACUGGAACUGAGACACGGUCCAGACUCCUACGGGAGGCAGCAGUGGGGAAUAUUGCACAAUGGGCGCAAGCCUGAUGCAGCCAUGCCGCGUGUAUGAAGAAGGCCUUCGGGUUGUAAAGUACUUUCAGCGAGGAGGCGUUACUCGCAGAAGAAGCACCGGCUAACUCCGUGCCAGCAGCCGCGGUAAUUC